rnacentral:rRNA from 1 species
AAUCAACGCUGGCGGCGUGCCUCAGACAUGCAAGUCGAACGCGAAAGUUCCCUUCGGGGGAUGAGUAGAGUGGCGCACGGGUGAGUAACACGUAGGUAAUCUACCUUCGGAUGGGGAAUAACAACCGGAAACGGUUGCUAAUACCGCAUUAUGCAGCGGCACCUAAUGGUGACAGUUGUUAAAGCGGGGGAUCGAAAGACCUCGCGUCUGAAGAGGAGCCUGCGGCGGAUUAGCAGUUGGUAGGGUAACGGCCUACCAAGGCUACGAUCCGUAGCCGGCCUGAGAGGGCGGUCGGCCACACUGACACUGACAUACGGGUCAGACUCCUACGGGAGGCAGCAGUGGGGAAUAUUGGACAAUGGGCGCAAGCCUGAUCCAGCGAUGCCGCGUGUGUGAAGAA